GGGAGGUAGUGACAAUAAAUAACAAUACGGGGUUCUUUCGGAUCUCGUAAUUGGAAUGAGUACAAUUUAAAUCUCUUAACGAGGAACAAUUGGAGGGCAAGUCUGGUGCCAGCAGCCGCGGUAAUUCCAGCUCCAAUAGCGUAUAUUAAAGUUGUUGCAGUUAAAAAGCUCGUAGUUGAAUUUCGGGGUUAGCAGGUUGGUCGUGCCACCGGUAUGUACUGGCCUCGCUGAUCCCUCCCUCUUGAUGAGCCGUAAUGCCAUUAAUUUGGUGUUGCGAGGAAUCAGGACUGUUA
rnacentral:rRNA from 1 species